rnacentral:rRNA from 1 species
UACGAGGGGUGCAAGCGUUAUUCGGAAUUAUUGGGCGUAAAGGGUGCGUAGGCGGCACAUUAAGUCAACUGUUAAAUUCCUCGGCCUAACCGAGGCUCUGCGGUAGAUACUGGUGUGCUAGAGGGUGGAAGGGAGAAGUGGAAUUCUCGGAGUAGCGGUAAAAUGCGUAGAUCUCGAGAGGAACACCAAUGGCGAAGGCAGCUUCUUGGUCCACACCUGACGCUGAGGCACGAAAGCGUGGGGAGCAAACAGG